rnacentral:rRNA from 1 species
GAUGAACGCUGGCGGCGUGCCUAAUACAUGCAAGUCGAGCGAACAGACGAGGAGCUUGCUCCUCUGACGUUAGCGGCGGACGGGUGAGUAACACGUGGAUAACCUACCUAUAAGACUGGGAUAACUUCGGGAAACCGGAGCUAAUACCGGAUAAUAUAUUGAACCGCAUGGUUCAAUAGUGAAAGACGGUUUUGCUGUCACUUAUAGAUGGAUCCGCGCCGCAUUAGCUGGUUGGUAAGGUAACGGCUUACCAAGGCAACGAUGCGUAGCCGACCUGGGAGGGUGAUCGGCCACACUGGAACUGAGACACGGUCCAGACUCCUACGGGAGGCAGCAGUAGGGAAUCUUCCGCAAUGGGCGAAAGCCUGACGGAGCAACGCCGCGUGAGUGAUGAAGGUCUUCGGAUCGUAAAACUCUGUUAUUAGGGAAGAACAAAUGUGUAAGUAACUAUGCACGUCUUGACGGUACCUAAUCAGAAAGCCACGGCUAACUACGUG